UAACAACCUCCUUCACCAGACAGAGGCUCUGGAGGAGAGAGGAUCCCAGGUUCUUCACCUUGCAUCUUUAGCACCUAACCCAGAGCAACCUUCCGAACACAAACCAAAGCCUCUUGGAGUCUGAAGAAUUACAGUUUGUUUAUGAGUGGCCAGGGAAGAACCCAGCCAGAGAAAAUCCCUGCCUGCUGUGGGCCCUGAAGGAGCUGUUGUCUCCGAUGAUCACAUCUCCAGACCAGCACAGGUCCCAGGGGGCUGCUGUCCAUACCGUGGCAAGGAACCAGACUGAGACCCGCAGGUGGAGAAAUGGUGGGGACACAAGGAUCGAAGACUGUCAUUCACUCCUGUGUUCACUCACUUGCUCCAUGAUACUUCCUAAGCAUCCAGUGUGGACAGGACAUUGCUUCUCUGGAGACACAGCAGGCAA
rnacentral:lncRNA from 1 species